GAUGAACGCUGGCGGCGUGCCUAAUACAUGCAAGUCGAGCGAACAGACGAGGAGCUUGCUCCUCUGACGUUAGCGGCGGACGGGUGAGUAACACGUGGAUAACCUACCUAUAAGACUGGGAUAACUUCGGGAAACCGGAGCUAAUACCGGAUAAUAUAUUGAACCGCAUGGUUCAAUAGUGAAAGACGGUUUUGCUGUCACUUAUAGAUGGAUCCGUGCCGCAUUAGCUAGUUGGUAAGGUAACGGCUUACCAAGGCGACGAUGCGUAGCCGACCUGAGAGGGUGAUCGGCCACACUGGAACUGAGACACGGUCCAGACUCCUACGGGAGGCAGCAGUAGGGAAACUUCCGCAAUGGGCGAAAGCCUGACGGAGCAACGCCGCGUGAGUGAUGAAGGUCUUCGGAUCGUAAAACUCUGUUAUUAGGGAAGAACAAAUGUGUAAGUAACUAUGCACGUCUUGACGGUACCUAAUCAGAAAGCCACGGCUAACUACGUG
rnacentral:rRNA from 1 species